rnacentral:rRNA from 1 species
AUUGAACGCUGGCGGCAUGCCUUACACAUGCAAGUCGAACGGCAGCACGGGGCAACCUGGUGGCGAGUGGCGAACGGGUGAGUAAUGCAUCGGAACGUACCUUUCAGUGGGGGAUAACGUAGCGAAAGUUACGCUAAUACAGCAUAUUCUGUGAGCAGGAAAGCAGGGGAUCGCAAGACCUUGCGCUGAUUGAGCGGCCGAUGUCAGGUUAGCUAGUUGGUGAGGUAAAGGCUCACCAAGGCGACGAUCUGUAGCGGGUCUGAGAGGAUGAUCCGCCACACUGGAACUGAGACACGGUCCAGACUCCUACGGGAGGCAGCAGUGGGGGAUUUUGGACAAUGGGGGCAACCCUGAUCCAGCCAUGCCGCGUGAGUGAAGAAGGCCUUCGGGUUGUAAAGCUCUUUCGGCCGGGAAGAAAUCGCACGGGCUAAUACCCUGUGUGGAUGACGGUACCGGAAUAAGAAGCACCGGCUAACUACGUGCCAGCAGCCGCCGUAAUAC